rnacentral:rRNA from 1 species
GACGAACGCUGGCGGCGUGCUUAACACAUGCAAGUCGAACGGAAAGGCCCUGCUUUUGUGGGGUGCUCGAGUGGCGAACGGGUGAGUAACACGUGAGUAACCUGCCCUUGACUUUGGGGUAACUUCAGGAAACUCGGGCUAAUACCGGAUAGGAUCUCCUGCUGCAUGGUGUGGGUUGGAAAGUUUCGGCGGUUGGGGCUGGACUCGCGGCUUAUCCGCUUGUUUGUGAGGUAGUGGUUUACCAAGGCUUUGACGGGUAGCCGGCCUGAGAGCGUGACCGGCCACCUGGGGACUGAGAUACGGACCAGAAUCCAACGGGAGGCAGAAGUGGGAAAUAUGGCACAAUGGGCGGACGCCUGAGGCAGAAACGCCGCGUGCGUGAUGACGGCUUUCGGGUGGUAAACCGCUGUGGCCGGUGACGAAGCGUGAUUGACGGUAAUGGGUAAGGAAGCACCGGCUAACUACGUG